rnacentral:piRNA from 1 species
UGCCUCACCUGGUCAAUGCAGACGGACAGUA